rnacentral:rRNA from 1 species
GACGAACGCUGGCGGCGUGCUUAACACAUGCAAGUCGAACGGAAAGGCCCUGCUUUUGUGGGGUGCUCGAGUGGCGAACGGGUGAGUAACACGUGAGUAACCUGCCCUUGACUUUGGGAUAACUUCAGGAAACUGGGGCUAAUACCGGAUAGGAGCUCCUGCUGCAUGGUGGGGGUUGGAAAGUUUCGGCGGUUGGGGAUGGACUCGCGGCUUAUCAGCUUGUUGGUGGGGUAGUGGCUUACCAAGGCUUUGACGGGUAGCCGGCCUGAGAGGGUGACCGGCCACAUUGGGACUGAGAUACGGCCCAGCCUCCUACGGGAGGCAGCAGUGGGGAAUAUUGCACAAUGGGUGGAAGCCUGAUGCAGCAACGCCGCGUGCGGGAUGACGGCCUUCGGGUUGUAAACCGCUUUCGCCUGUGACGAAGCGUGAGUGACGGUAAUGGGUAAAGAAGCACCGGCUAACUACGUG